ACAAUCAAGUUCGGUUGUCGCUGGAGAUCAAGGCUCCGCUAUAAGAUCUUUGCUGGAGAUGGAGAUGGAGAUUGAGGUUGAUCUUCUGCAUGGUCCAGCAAAGGUCAAGCAUUUUUUUCCAAUUUAUGAAUGGAGAGUCAUACUGCAUGGAAACAGGACCCAAUUUGCCCAAGACACCGAAGGGUCUCAACCCGAAAGGUCACCCAUUCUUUCUCUCUGGAGAUGCUGCCUGUCCCGCUGAGUUACUCCAGCAUUUUGUGUUUACCCCAUCUACACUAAUCCCGCCUGCCCACACUUGACCCUGAUGAGAGAGACGUUGGUUCGCGGGAACUGCUGCAGUACAUCGAGUACGCGGGCCGACUGGACUUUGAAUAUAGACACAAAAUAUAAUGGUGCCAAUCAUGACGGCAUCUGCAUGUGUAAUAUAUGCAAAAAUAAAUUAACUUUGCAGUUGCAUAUGAGACAAAUAAAGCACUAUUGAACCAUU